rnacentral:rRNA from 1 species
GACGAACGCUGGCGGCGUGCCUAACACAUGCAAGUCGAACGGAGAAUUAGCAAUAAUUCUUAGUGGCGAACGGGUGAGUAACGCGUAGACAACCUACCCUUUAGAUGGGGACAACACCGCGAAAGUGGUGCUAAUACCGAAUAUUGCUUGAGAAGCGCAUGCUUUUCAAACUAAAGAUGGCCUCUAUUUAUAAGCUAUCGCUAAAGAAUGGGUCUGCGUCUGAUUAGCUAGUUGGUGAGAUAAAAGCUCACCAAGGCAACGAUCAGUAGCCGGUCUGAGAGCAUAACCGGCCACAAUGGGACUGAGACACGGCCCAGACUCCUACGGGAGGCAGCAGUGGGGAAUCUUCCGCAAUGGACGAAAGUCUGACGGAGCAACGCCGCGUGAGCGAUGAAGGUUUUCGGAUCGUAAAACUCUGUUGUUAAGGACGAAUGUAUAGAUUGUGAAUAAUGGUUUAUAAUGACGGUACUUAACGAGGAAGCCACGGCUAACUACGUGCCAGCAGCCGCCGUAA